rnacentral:rRNA from 1 species
UACGAAGGGGGGCUAGCGUUGCUCGGAAUCACUGGGCGUAAAGCGCACGUAGGCGGAUCUUUAAGUCAGGGGGUGAAAUCCCAAGGCUCAACCUUGGAACUGCCUUUGAUACUGGGGAUCUCGAGUCCGGAAGAGGUUGGUGGAACUGCGAGUGUAGAGGUGAAAUUCGUAGAUAUUCGCAAGAACACCAGUGGCGAAGGCGGCCAACUGGUCCGGUACUGACGCUGAGGUGCGAAAGCGUGGGGAGCAAACAGG